CCUACGGGUGGCAGCAGUGAGGAAUAUUGGUCAAUGGACGAGAGUCUGAACCAGCAAAGCAGCGUGAAGGAUGACUGCCCUAUGGGUUGUAAACUUCUUUUAUAUGGGAAUAGAAUGUUACACGUGUGGGGUUUUGUACGUACCCUAUGAAUAAGGAUGGGCUAACUCCGAGCCAGCAGCCGCGGUAAUACGGAGGAUCCGAGCGUUAUCCGGAUUUAUUGGGUUUAAAGGGAGCGUAGGUGGUUUGUUAAGUCAGUUGCGAAAGUUUGCGGCUCAACCGUAAAAUUGCAGUUGAAACUGGCAGUCUUGAGUACAGUAGAGGUGGGCGGAAUUCGUGGUGUAGCGGUGAAAUGCGUAGAUAUCACGAAGAACACCGAUUGCGAAGGCGGCUCACUGGACUGCAACUGACACUGAGGCACGAAAGUGUGGGUAGCAAACAGGAUUAGAUACCCUUGUAGUC
rnacentral:rRNA from 1 species